GAGUUUGAACCUGGCUCAGGAUGAACGCUGGCGGCGUGCCUAACACAUGCAAGUCGAACGAAGCAUCCCUUCCGAUGAAUGGACCAGCUUGCUGGGAAAGGAAUCAAUUGGGAUGACUGAGUGGCGGACGGGUGAGUAACGCGUGGGUAACCUGCCCCAUAGAGGGGGACAACAGCUGGAAACGGCUGCUAAUACCGCAUAGCAGGAAAGAGACGCAUGUCUUUUUCUUCAAAGAUUUAUCGCUAUGGGAUGGACCCGCGUCUGAUUAGCUAGUUGGUAAGGUAACGGCCUACCAAGGCGACGAUCAGUAGCCGGCUUGAGAGAGUGGACGGCCACAUUGGGACUGAGACACGGCCCAGACUCCUACGGGAGGCAGCAGUGGGGAAUAUUGCACGAUGGGGGAAACCCUGAUGCAGCGACGCCGCGUGAGUGAAGAAGUAUUUCGGUAUGUAAAGCUCUAUCAGCAGGGAAGAUAAUGACGGUACCUGACUAAG
rnacentral:rRNA from 1 species